rnacentral:tRNA from 2 species
GUACAAGUAACGUGCAAUUGGUGCGGCCAACUGCCCUCCGAAGGCAGGGGUUGCUGGUUCGAUCCCAGCCGGGCGCGCCA